UAUGGCCAUAUCUCAUUGAAAACAUCAGUUCCUGUAUGAUCACCAAAGUUGAGCAACAUCAAGCUGGGUCAGUAUCUAGAUGGGUGACCACUUGUGAAUACCAGGUGCUGUAAG